UUUAGUCUAACCUGUCAGGGAGU
rnacentral:piRNA from 1 species